UACGGAGGAUCCAAGCGUUAUCCGGAAUCAUUGGGUUUAAAGGGUCCGUAGGCGGUUUAAUAAGUCAGUGGUGAAAGCCCAUCGCUCAACGGUGGAACGGCCAUUGAUACUGUUAAACUUGAAUUAUUAGGAAGUAACUAGAAUAUGUAGUGUAACGGUGAAAUGCUUAGAGAUUACAUGGAAUACCAAUUGCGAAGGCAGGUUACUACUAAUGGAUUGACGCUGAUGGACGAAAGCGUGGGUAGCGAACAGG
rnacentral:rRNA from 1 species